AUAGAUACUGGCCAAAGUGAUAUUGAAAUUGGUCGACAGCCCAAGUCAGAUGAUACAGAAAAUGAUGAGAUAAAGCCUGAAAAAAGCACAGAAAUAAAAGUUAAUGAUGAAAAUAAUAGGAAUCAGGAAAAAACCUCUCCAGUUGAAAUUGCUGCUGUUGAAAAUCAAUCUGCUAUUCAAAUGGCUACAGGAGAUUUGGGUACAUAUGAAAUUAAUAAGAUUACUUAAAAAUCAUAAAUUGCCUGACGAUAUCAAUGAAAAAUACCAAAAAUAAUAAAAACAUUUUGACAAUCACAAAGUACAUCAAGAAAUAUAUUAGAUUUUAAAACUUAUGUAUUACGGGGCAAAUCAUUUGGAGGGACUUUCAAAUUUAAACAUGGCCUUAAAUAAGAGGAAUAAAGAAUUAAUGCCAAUUAUAUUGUAAACAAGAAACACAAUAAUCUGUAGUAAUCUUUCCGCUUUAAAUGCUAAACUUGGUAAGAUUUAAGCUUAAUAACAAAGCACAAAAAGUAGGACCCCCUUUUAACAAAUACAAAUCUUUUAACUUGAAAGGGUAGGUAAUGCAAAUUCUAAUUAUAUAACAUGAGGAACAAUUGAUAUAUACAAAUAAGGAGAUGUGGUAUGAUUCCCAAGGAGACAAUUUUUCACUAAAGACCAAAUGACAUGUCUUUAAGAUUAGACUUGUCAAAGUUUCAUAACAAUCCAAAUCGUUUUACAACUUAAUCAUGUCAAAAAAUUGUAAUUCCAGAUUGUCUGUAAAUGUUAACUGUAAAAAGUCCAUCUAUCAGACAAAUACAGAAAAUGAAAAACUAUGUUUUCAAUAGUUUGCUUGAGACAUUAUUCCUAAUUCAUUAAAAAGUCAAAGUUUCAGAAAAUUCUACAAUCAUGAAGGUUUUACAAAGUAAUAGACCACUUUUGAGUUCAUCCGUCACUGGAAAAAACUUGUCAAUUAUGCCCGCCUUUAUAAUGUCAUUUACCAGAUAGAGGGGAUCACCUGUAUCCCUGCACUAUUAAUGUUCAUCAAGCGUUUUAGUGAUUGUCAUUGUGCAGCAAUAAUGUUUAUUCUGUAGGUACUUAAUCACAAUUCCCUAAUGACACAAGUGCUGAUUGUCAAUUAUUAGAAUUCAAUUUGCCCAAUAAUUCAUGAAAAACAGCAUCAUAGUUUUCCAACCACUCACUCAAUAUGAGAACAGAAGUGAAGAGGCCCCUAAACGUAAAAGUGCAUUGAACUCGAAAGUUGUCUAUUGAUUUGUAAUAAACUUAAACCUCAGACUGUAUGAACUUGUUGACAGUAAAAAAAUAUUAAAAUACUUUAAUCUCAGACUAAAUCUUAAAAAUAACUGUAAAAAAAAGGUAAGUCCAUUUAUCAGAAAAAUAUGGAAAAACAUAAAUUUUGCUCUGGAUACUAUAGCUUGGUCAUAACUAAACUUUUGUCCGAAAUAACACAAAAUUACAUGAAGUUUGACAAAGAUAUUGAUAUGCAAAAAUAAUUUAACCAAUUUUGAGUCUACAGUUAGUAAGCCUAGUAGUAUAGAAAAUUUGUGAUUUGAGAUUUCAACUUAAGAUUUAAAACAGUUUUAAGUCUAUAAAAAAAGAAUCAAAACGUAAAUUAUUAUCUGAUUUUCAACAUAAAUAUAUUGACCAAGGUUAUGAUACAUUUCCUUAAAUGUUUACUCCUUUGUUUAAAUUUUCAAUGAUUCAAGAUAAUUACAGUUACUUUAUCUGUCCCAUUUCCAGCCAGGAAUUUUUUUAGAGGUUGUAGCUGUAAAUUCAUGAUUGUUUAUUGUAGAACUGAUUUGUACGGUUAGCUAGUAUUGGCAGAUGCUUUCUUGUUUAUAUAAUAUUUUAAUCCGUUAAAAAAAAUUCUUAACAAGGAAGAUUUGAAUUUUACAGCUACUGGGAAAAAUGAUGACAUACAAGGUCCAAAAUGUCAGUCAGGCAAUGUAGAUGGUAUUGAUAUAGACAAUGCAGAACCAAAACUUGAUGAUAAUUUA
rnacentral:lncRNA from 1 species